rnacentral:lncRNA from 1 species
UUCAGAUUAAUCGAUAAAAUCACAGAGAAACUAGAGAGAGAAAGUAGAGAGAAGGAAGAGAGUUUGAGAGAACCGAAGAGUCGGUUAUUGGGAAAAGAGAAAAAAUGAAUAAUAUCUGUCCAGAAGCUUCCCCUACACUAAACAUAUACUUACAAAAUAAAGAUGAAAUGGACCGGGUCGGGUACAAUUGACCCGGGCUCAGAUAUGACCCAUUAGGCUCAUAAGUGUCAGUGGCCCAACACAUGAGCCCAAAGUAUUUAUCAUCACUGCCCAUUAU